GUAUAGUAAAUUGUUAACCAAGGGAUGAAACGGUACCUUUCACCCGAGUUAAACAAAUAGGCAAAUUUGCAUAAUCAGUACCUAAUUAAAGUAAGUCUUUUUACUAUGAAGGGAAAACUUUUUGCGAUAACUCAAAAACAGCUAAACUGAUCAUGUCCGCUAUAGUUUUCAUUUAAUGUCUUUCUUAAGCUCUACUUCCACGAUUUUUUUCAUAUUUUUUGGACCUAUGGUUCAAAAGUUAGAGGGGGGGACACAUGUUUUUUUCUUUCGGAGCGAUUAUCUCCGAAUAUAUUCACUUUAUCAAAAAAUGUUUCUUGAAAACCCCUAUUAGUUUUGAAAGACCUUUCCAACGAUAUCCCACACUCUAGGGUUGAAGCGAAAAAAAAAAUUCACCCCACUUUACGUGUAGGGGAGGUACCCUAAAAAAAAUUAAAUUUUUAGAUUUUAUUGUACGACUUUGUCGGCUUUAUUGAUUUAUAUAUCCAUGCCAAAUUUCAGCUUUCUAGCACUAACGACCACGGAGCAAAGCCUCGGACAGACAGACAGACAGACAGACGGACAUGGCGAAACUAUAAGGGUUCCUAGUUGACUACGGAACCCUAAAAAACGAAAGUGUGUCUGUCUGUCUGUCACCUCUUGACACCAAACCGAUGGGUUCAUCGGUUGAUUGAAAUUGGUGGAUUUACUUGAAAUUUGAUGUAUGGUACUUUUUAUCAUCAUCAUCCCUUAGGGGGGUGAAAAGUGGGGUGGAAGUUUUGAUUGGGAAUCAAUAACCGCUGAACUGAUUUAGAUUAAAAUAUCAUGCCUAUCCUGCAUUCAAAGUGUAUAGCAAAAUAAUAAAAGUAGAUAUAGCAAAAUAAUAAAAGUAGUGCCAGUACUACUACCCAGGUAGAUAUAUACUAAAGAAGGCCUGUCAGAGAUCUCCACUGGUGCCUAGUAUUAGGUGGAAAAUCAUGCAGAAUGGAGAGCCUAAGUGCACAAAACAAUAACCACCUGUGGUCGCGACCCUUAGUCAUGAGGAAACAAUGAAUAAGAAAAAAGAAGUUCUUGGGUCUUAUAGUUCUGGCUGUGGGUGUGUGGGCAUGGACGGAAAAGGACACCUUCAACAACCUAUCGCAGCUGACCAAUAUAGCACUGGAUCCAGCUUUCAUAUUGAUGUGUGCUGGUGCUAUCACAUUUAUAAUAGGCUUCACGGGCUGCGUCGGAGCGUUGCGUGAGAACACCUGCUUACUGGCCUGCUAUGCGGUGUUUUUGGCGCUGUUGUUGCUGUCUGAGAUGACGACAGGAAUCCUGUUCUUUGUGUUCAAAGACUGGAUAAAACAGCAGGCGACGACUGGUUUCCAGACCUUCAUUACGCAUUACAGAGAAGACCCAGACCAGCAGAACCUGAUCGACUGGAUUCAAGAAGAAUGGCUCCAAUGCUGCGGAGUAGAAGGCCCCCGUGACUGGGACCGCAACGCAUACUUCAACUGUUCGAGUGGCGCCGUCGGUUCACGCGAGGCCUGCGGAGUCCCAUUCAGCUGCUGCCGCAACAAGCCGCAGGACAUCAUCCGCAACAAGCAGUGCGGCUACGACGUCCGCAAGCCGACCUAUGUGAGUACUUGUACCGAGACCAUAACGUUACUUCAACUGUUCGAGCGACGCCGUCGGUUCACGCGAGGCCUGCGGAGUCCCAUUCAGCUGCUGCCGCAACAAGCCGCAGGACAUCAUCCGCAACAAGCAGUGCGGCUACGACGUCCGCAAGCCGACCUAUGUGAGUACUUGUACCGAGACCAUAACGUUACUUCAACUGUUCGAGCGACGCCGUCGGUUCACGCGAGGCCUGCGGAGUCCCAUUCAGCUGCUGCCGCAACAAGCCGCAGGACAUCAUCCGCAACAAGCAGUGCGGCUACGACGUCCGCAAGCCGACCUAUGUGAGUACUUGUACCGAGACCAUAACGUUACUUCAACUGUUCGAGCGACGCCGUCGGUUCACGCGAGGCCUGCGGAGUCCCAUUCAGCUGCUGCCGCAACAAGCCGCAGGACAUCAUCCGCAACAAGCAGUGCGGCUACGACGUCCGCAAGCCGACCUAUGUGAGUACUUGUACCGAGACCAUAACGUUACUUCAACUGUUCGAGCGACGCCGUCGGUUCACGCGAGGCCUGCGGAGUCCCAUUCAGCUGCUGCCGCAACAAGCCGCAGGACAUCAUCCGCAACAAGCAGUGCGGCUACGACGUCCGCAAGCCGACCUAUGUGAGUACUUGUACCGAGACCAUAACGUUACUUCAACUGUUCGAGCGACGCCGUCGGUUCACGCGAGGCCUGCGGAGUCCCAUUCAGCUGCUGCCGCAACAAGCCGCAGGACAUCAUCCGCAACAAGCAGUGCGGCUACGACGUCCGCAAGCCGACCUAUAAUUAUGAUAUUGCUAAGAUAAUACAUGAGAAAGGCUGCCUAGAGGCGGCCGAGGAGUGGUUUGACCGUAACUUGCUGGUGGUCGCUACGACCGCUGUUUGUACUACUUUUGCACACAUCCUCGGAAUAUGUUUCGCCCAAAACCUGCGCGCGGACAUAUUCGCCCAGAAAGCGAAAUGGCACUGACAAUCAGCCCCUCCUGCGGCCGUGUGACGCGCCCCGCGCCGCGCGCCGCGCGCCCGGCCCCUAGCGCCGCCCGCGCCUGGGGGCCUACCGAUAAAACCGAAUUUCGCAAAUUGCGGGGAUAUUUCUCUUUUACUCGCAUUAAGACGUAAUUAGAGUGACAGAGAAAAAUGCCCGCAAUUGACAAACUUCGAUUUUCGCGGUUGUAGCCCCGCAGGGACCACGUCGCCGAUGCUUGCUACUUACCUAAGGUUAGGAUAGAUGGCGCUGUUGUUCACUUAAAUCGGAUUUAGAAUUAAUAUAAGACUUGUGAAUGCAUUGUUGUAUGUAUUCAAUAGUCAGCCAAUAGUGUCAGUAGAGAAUGAAGCGAAAAUCAAACACUAAAUGUUUUAAGUAGAACGAAUUAUAUGUAGAUAGGCAAGAACCUAAUGAUAACGAGGGUUAUAUUGUUCCUUGUUGUUUUUACACCCAGCGAAUUGAGUUCUUACUUUGGGUGAAGCUUUACCGCUUAACUGUUUAACCUAAAUAUUAUCAAAGUUUUUUCCCGCUAAAGAGUAUCUUUUUAUUUUGAUACUACUCGUCAAUUAAUAAAAUCUGGUAUUUAAUAUAGACUUGACUAUUUCUUUGAGGUUUACCAGGGUAUGAUUUGCAUGGCGCUACUGACAAUAUUGUCUGGCUAUAAUAUAUAACGAUCUUUUUGCUCUAAAUCUUUUGUUAACACCUAAUAGUUACUACCUUACCUAUGUACUAUCGUAUUGACGUAGCUUUUCCCAAACUCUUACUUAACAGCUUUUCACAACGAAUCCUUAAAUCACUCACUUUCACUUCUUUCCUGAAUGUUCAAGUUAUCUCGACGGUGAUAAAGUUUAUAAAUAAAUGUUGAUGUCGUCAUAAGAAUUAUCCAGUGUGUAAUUGACCUAAGUUCAAAGUGCAGACAGCUUCUACAGAGAUAACUAACCAAAAUACAUGAUCUGGCAACACCGUGACAUAUCACAAUAACGGUCACACUAGAUUGCGUUGAAAUCAAUGUAAUUAAGGCAUCUAACCAUCGAAUACAGCAUUACUUUAUAUUACUCCAUAAGGUUUAUCUAGUAGCAUGCCAUAUAACCAUUGAAUAUCAUUACAAAAGAUCUUAUAAUUUGAGAAUAAACUAGAUAGGAAAUUGUCUGCACUCUAAAGAUGUGUUCAUAUUGGCCAACUGUACUGUACUAGCCUUAAAAGAGCUGUGAAAAUAUAAGUAUCGAAAUAAUUUUAGAGUGAAAGUGAAAAGUAUUCGCGGAAGUUAUGUAGUAUACAGAUAUGAUAUGUUGCGAAAUGUAUUCAUCAAUUAUAAUAAAUAGCAGGGCUCGGAAACCGUUUUAUUUUUCAAACCGGUUUCGUUAUUGACCCAGGAACGAAAAGGAUUUCGUUAACGGUUACAGUUACCGGUUAAAGAACUGUUCUAUUGAGAUACCGGUUUAUGCCAAAUUCGUUCGCCCUCCGUUUUAUGGAACGAAAUUAUCCGGUUAAAUUUAAUUGAAUAUCGAGAUGGAACGAGUAAAGUAUUGUUGCCUCUUUUAAGAAUGACAACGAGUUUAACCGAGGGUCCCUGAAAGCCGGAAAUAACCAGUAUUAUAUUAUAUCGUUCCCCGCGAACCAUAAAAUUGUUAGGAGAGAGAACGUAAUUUAUUAGUUCACGUUCCAUCAAUCAACCGGUUUUUAUUAAACAAAAUAAUAUAACGGUUUUGGAACGAUAUUAACAGGUAUUUCAAUUCCGGUUCCGGGCUCUGAUAAAUACAUCAGUAAUUUUCGACUAAAAUUUUAAUGACAUAUUUUUAACAAGUGUAAUUUUCGUUUAUAUUGAUAGUAUUAGUGGGUAAUACUUUACAUGAGAUCGCAUAAUAUUGUAAUUGCCUUGUAAAAUGCUUUAUAAAGUGCUUUAGGUGACCUGUCGUCGGUGCAUGGGGUCAGAGGAGGCCCAGGAGAAUAAUGGCUGAAACUAGUAUUAUAAGAAUUAGAGGACUUAUCUAUACAUUUAUAAGAUUAACUGACGAAUCUUAGGAUAAGUAAUACUCAUUGCUUUAAGUUAACAAACGAUUUUAUAAGUAUUUAAAUUCAUUUUAAUUUUUUUUGUUAUAUCUCAAAAAUAGUAUUAUAUUUAAGACAAUAUGUUGUGAUUCGAUCUUGACAAAAAAUCUCAAUUUUUUGCACAAAAUAUUUAUUAUUGUAUUGUAGUAGUGUCUAGUGGUAGGAUUUCUGUAGUGGUUUUGUUGUACAUUUAAACUAGGAGUUUACAAUUAUGUUUUACCUUGGACAUGCAUAAUGAGCAGUAGGUACCUACAAGAUAUUUCUAGUGUUGUUUGAUUCUCGUAUUAUUAAUUCAGCGUGUAUUUUUGACAUAGGUAACCACAAAUUUUCACAAGACGUAUUUCAUGUCAUGUAUCAUAUUUUGUACAAAAUUCGAUAUAUUUUGAUUUGAUUAGAAGAGUCCCUAGGCGUAUUUUUUUUGUUUGAGCGGAAAUAUAUGUGUGAGAUUUGACGUCGCGUCAGAAAAUACUUAUAAUUUUUUAAGGAAAAAAAGUAGUUUCUUAUUAUUAUAUCAUGAAAUUAUACUGUCCAUUAGUUUCAACAAAUUUUCCUUGCAAUUUGUGAUGAUAUAAAAUAUACACGGUGUGUACAUUAAAUUUCAUUUGUUAAUAACACACCAUAAAUUUUAAAAUGACUCAUACUUUCAAUGAAGAUUUAUAACAAAGUGUUUAAUAUUGUAUGAAUUAGCAUAUUAAUUAUUUAAUUUGACCCCUUCUCAAUGCUUACCAAUAGUGAUGUGCGUGCCUGAAUUACGAAUAAAGUUCAAUAAGAUAAGCGACUUGUGCUAUCUGAUCUCCGUACAUUUGCUUCCUAAUUGCCGUUAUUGACAAACUUAUAUAUUUGAUAAAUAGGUACAGUACAUUAAUUCAGUAUAUUGUAAAUAGUAAGGUGCAUGCUAUAUAAUCUAAAUAUUUGUUUAUGCUUUAGUGUUGUAAUUAAUUACUGAUAAUUAUAAAACUAAAAAGUAAAAUCGCCUAGUUGACAGAUCCACCAAGACCGCCAAGUAUUCGUUUGUGAAACGCUAAACAAAUAUGUAUUUCUAAUAGAAAAGGACCCUUCAGGACCAUAAACUUUAUAGUGUUAACUAUCUAAUUUCUCGUCCUAAAGAUCGAAAGUAAUAUUUUAUUGAAGUCAACUAGGUUAACUUAUUAGCUGGUCUAAACAAUUAUGCCUUGAGUAUAAUUAUGCAAAAGUUGUACAUUGUACACAACAUGAAAACGCGGGUCUACCGAGAGCUUCAACUAUCUAAAUUCUUGUAUGUCUAAGUCUGACAUUCCUAUUAACGUAAGUCAACAACGAAGAUAUUCUUCUUCGAAGAAUUUUCGGAAUUCCAUGCUCUUGGCAAUCGACUGACAAUUUGCUGUGCAUCAAUGAUUUUAUGUUGCAUAAUUCAUCGCUUUGGGAUUUAUUAAUCGAAAUUAUUUACUUCCUGAUAAAUAUUAUUUUUCCUGUUUCAAAAUCAAAAAAUCUAGGUACAUACCUCAUAAUUUUACUGAAAUCAAACAAAAAAUGAUGAAUUGAUAAUUAGGCAGCUAAAUAUAACAGUAUUUGUAUGUAGAUGUAGGAUUUUAUAUUGCUUUUCAAAGACGUACAGUAAUGUUAAAUAUUUUAUACGCAAAUAUAGUGUUUAUUAUUAUGAAUGACAAA